rnacentral:rRNA from 1 species
UACGGAGGGUGCGAGCGUUAAUCGGAAUCACUGGGCGUAAAGCGCGCGUAGGCGGCUUUUCAAGUCAGGGGUGAAAUCCCACGGCCCAACCGUGGAACUGCCUUUGAAACUGUAGAGCUUGAGUGUCGGAGAGGGUGGCGGAAUUCCAGGUGUAGGAGUGAAAUCCGUAGAUAUCUGGAGGAACACCGGCGGCGAAGGCGGCCACCUGGACGACAACUGACGCUGAGGUGCGAAAGCGUGGGUAGCAAACAGG